CGGGUCUAGAAAGUAAGUUUGCAAAUGUUAUUACUUAUGAGGGUUUAAUGAAGUGACAGUUCAAAAUAUUCAUAUUAAUCAGAAAUUAACACAAGAUGCUUUUAUAAAACUUUUUUCUAUACUCUAGUAACAACAAUCUUUCCAUGUAAGAUUAUUUUGUACUCCACAUUAGAAUGUACUGAAAGUGCAGUUGUUAAGUAAGAAAUAUAUGCUUUAAAAUAAUAUAGCUCAAGUUCCCAGCAUAGUACUUGGCUAUUCUGAUUUAUGUUAAUCUCUCUUUUUGUCCUUUUCCACAAAAGGAAGUAUGGGAAAGGAGGCUCUUAGAAAUUCCAUUGGGUCUGAAGUUGACCCAAGAAAUACAUACUUCCCAGGUAAUCCAGGUGAUUCAGAUGUAAGACAAUAUUUAGGAACCAAAGCAUCACCUCAUUUUGAUUUGAAAUUCCUCUACUUAACGUUUACUUUUGGGAAGAAGCAAAUGGAAAUAAAUCUUGGUUUAAUUACAGAAUUAUUUUUAGAAUAUGCCUAAGAAAUAUGGAAGUUCCCAUAUUUCCUGACAAUUCUUACCCUUUAACAUGAGCCCUAAAUCCUUGGAUUUACUGUAGAUACCCACAAUCAGCUCCAAACGCAGUAAGAAAUCUUUUCCAUAAUCUGAAACAAAAAUUCAGAUAUAGCCUUGGCCUGUUUUGUUCAGUAGUUAGAGGUCGGUCCUUGGACUGAAGGGUCAUGGGUUCCAUUCUGGUCAAGGGCACAUACCUCAGUUGCAGGCUCCAUCCCUGGCCCUGAGUCAGGGUGCAUGUGGGAGGCAACCAAUCGAUGUGGCUCUCUCACAUCAAUGUUUCUCUCUCUCUGUCUCUCCCCCUUCCUUCAACUCUCUCUAAAAAUCAAUGGGAAAAAAAAAUCCUCAGGUGAGGAUUCAUACACACACACACACACAAUCAGAUACAAUUGUGUAGUCACACCCAGGUGUAGUCAUGAUCCCAAAAUGCCUAACCUCUGACAUUCCACUUUUCCCAAUACAUUUGCUGAAUUAUUUCACAGCUAUUCUUUGUCUUCCUCCUUAGAACUUUUGGUCUCUAUCUCUCUACUUGUUUCUACUCACCCGUGUUCUCUGGUCCUUAUUUCCCUCCUGAUUUCCCUGCACCAUAUGUUACCAACACAUUGCUGGCAAAAGUUCAACAGGUGAAUUCAACAAACCUCCUGUUUUGCAAUCAUACCUAGAUUUCUGGUGUUGCUAGAGAAAACAAUACAACUAAGAGGUCUGGUAUUAUUAUUAUAAACUAGAGGCCUCGUACACGAAUUCGUGCACAGGUGGGGUCCCUCGGCCUGACCAGCGAUUGGGCCAAUCAGGGCCGUGUCAUGGGAAGUUGGCUGCCAGGGGGAUGGACCAUGGGAGUUUGGCUGUGGGAGCACACAGACAACCAGGGGGCAGCUCCAGCAUUGAGUGUCUGCCCCCUGGUGGUCAGUGUGUGUCAUAGCUACUGGCCAGUCAUCUGGUCAUAACGAUCACUUAGGCUUUUUAUAUAUGUAGAUUUAGGUUCCCUUAUCUUAGCAAGGCUCUCAACACUGCCUACCUAUAAAUGUUCCAUAGAAAACAUGUUCUAUUUUUCAGUGUCUAUGCUAAACAUUCUCCAUCUCUCUCAAUGUUUUUACUAAUUCUCAGAAACUCUAUCACUCAUAGAAAAUGAUAUCUGCUCUUAACAAAGAAACUCUGUGUCCUUCACCACUAAAUUUCCAGGCAUAACACUGUUUUCCUCUUCCCUGCCUUAAAAGAGCGACUGUUCCAAGGCCAAUCCUUGUACCUUGCUUUGAAACCCAGGGCAGGCCCUUCUAACUUGAGCUACAGAUUUUCCACCUUUCCAUUUAAGCUUUCUCUCAUUACCAGCUCCCCACAUCAGUUUCUUCCACAAAACAAAACUCAACAGAAAGCCAUCCCUUUCCUCUUUUUUUAGCAGUUCCCCUCAUCUUCUCAAUAAUCCCAUCUUCUUUUUCCACUUCAAAAACAAGCUGUCUAAUCCAAGUUACAUAUAACUGUUUGCUCACUUAUUUAUUCCCCAAAUGGCUCCAAUCUGCUUUCACCCUGCAUACGCCACAGAGACUACUUUCACCCAGAUCACUUUUCUGGCACUAAAUCCAGCAAGCGUUAACCAUCUACUUUUACUCUGCCUAAAUUCUGAGUGCGAGUGGGGAGUUGCUCAUAUUCAUCUUCUAAAAGUUUUCUACUUCCUUUCACUUUUCUAGAAAGUCCUAUCUCGCUGGGUUAUUUUUCAGUCUUCUUACUAGAUUCUUAUAUUUCUCAACCUACCCUUUAUAUGAUCCUCAUUUAAAUUUUCCACUUUCAGUUUUCCUGGGGCAAUGAUGCCCGAGUCUAGCCAUUGUCUCUUACCUCCAGAUACAAAUGACUACCCACCUGGAUGUGUUGCAGCCAAUGGAAAUUCAGCAGGUUUCAAACCAAUUUCAUCAACCCUUGGAGCCCUCUGCAGAACUCCCACUCCCCCGAGGGGUGGGGGUCCUCAACCUCUUUAUGUAAUUAAACCUCAAGGUCUAUUGAUUCUGUUUACUAUCUCUGAAGUCCAUUAAGCUCUCUGUACCCCCUACUGCUACAUGAGUAGCACAGUAACAGCACAGUAACUGGUAUCCUUUCAUCCAUUCUAAUACAUUCUCCACAUUACCAUGACACAUACAGAUGUGCAAUAAGUAUACGAUGCACACUGAUGCAUGAAUUUGCAAACAUGAUUUGUUUAAAGGAGUAAACUUAAUUUGACCUUCUCCAGACUUAACCUUUGACUGGCUUACCCCUCUAUUCAAAACCCUUAACAUCACUUCCAGUCUUGGCUCCACCUUCCACUCAGGCAGCACUCUGUGGCAGUCUUCCUCUCUAUCUCUAAGCUGUUUAGGUUCUUCAGUGCAACAUGGUUCUUGAAUCUGGGCCUUCGACUGGAGAAGUCCUGCUGGGAUGCUCUUUCACCGCCAAAUUUCUACUCAUGCUAUGAACUUCACUUUCCCCCCACCACUGCUUUUCAAGAAAGUGGAGAGAGGGGAGGGCGGUGAAACAUCAAUGUGAGAGAGACACAAGGACUGGUUGCCUCCACACACUCCCCUACCAUGGGUGGGGAGCAAACCCACAACCCAGGUACAUGCCCUUGAACAGGAAUUGAACCUGAGACCCUUCAGUGCAUGGACUGAUGCUCUAACCAUUGAGAAACACUAGCCAGAGCUGAACUUUAUUUUUAUUUACUUUUUUUGAACUUCACUUUAAAAUGACACUUUCUCAGAACUACCUUCCCUUCCUCUCAAUUCUGCUAUCUCCUUCAAACAUAUCUUGUAUUUUCCUCUCUGUAACACUGAGCACAAUGAAUAUGAUUAUUUUCCCCAUUAGAUUAUAAGGCGAAUAAAUGUUGAGGCUGUUCUUGGCUUCAUCAUCAAGGACGAUGUUUGGCAUAUAGAAGUAUUUGCAGAUCUACUAAAUCAGAAGCUCUAGAACUGCAGCCCAACAAGGAGUUAACAAGCCCUCCAGGUGAUUCCCAAUGUACACUGAAGUUUGAGAACUACUGCCAUGGAGGUCCAGGCCACGCUCACUUUUUAGCUGAGCCCAUGUUUUAACAAUUAAGAUAAUUAAAAGUUAUGAUAAAAUUUUGGAUUCGUUUGCAUAGAGAACGAUAGCAAAGGAGUACACUCUACUAGUUUACUUUUUACCAAAAAGAUUACCUUUAAAUCAAUGAGAAAGCCUUCAAAGGGUCUAUAAGGAUUGUGGACAAUAAGGUGGAAAUUAAGUUGCUGUAUAAGAAGCAGUUCAUAUUCCAAAAUCUGUUCAAGUGCCUUCUCCUGUCCAAGAGGGCUCUCCCGCAGAUUUCCAACAAACUGUAGACUAGAUACAUUGAAUUCAUCCAC